rnacentral:rRNA from 1 species
GUGGGGAAUAUUGGACAAUGGGCGAAAGCCUGAUCCAGCCAUGCCGCGUGUGUGAAGAAGGUCUUCGGAUUGUAAAGCACUUUAAGUUGGGAGGAAGGGCAGUAAGUUAAUACCUUGCUGUUUUGACGUUACCGACAGAAUAAGCACCGGCUAACUUCGUGCCAGCAGCCGCGGUAAUACGAAGGGUGCAAGCGUUAAUCGGAAUUACUGGGCGUAAAGCUCGCGUAGGUGGUUUUGUAAGUUGGAGGUGAAAUCCCCGGGCUCAACCUGGGAACUGCCUCACAAACUGCAUGACUAGAGUACGGUAGAGGGUAGUGGAAUUUCCUGUGUAGCGGUGAAAUGCGUAGAUAUAGGAAGGAACACCAGUGGCGAAGGCGACUACCUGGACUGAUACUGACACUGAGGUGCGAAAGCGUGGGGAGCAAACAGGAUUAGAUACCCCUGUAGUCC